rnacentral:misc_RNA from 1 species
GUGAGUCAUCGAAUCUUUGAACGCACAUUGCGCCCCUUGGUAUUCCGAGGGGCAUGCCUAUUCGAGCGUCAUUAUCACCCCUCAAGCUUUAGCUUGGUGUUGAGGCCUGCUGUCAAGGCAGCCUCUAAAAUCAGUGGCAGUGCUGUCAGGCUCUAAGCGUAGUAAAAUUCAUCGCUAUAGACACCUGGUGGACACUCGCCAGAACCCCCCAUUUUUUAAUGAUUGACCUCGGAUUAGGUAGGGAUACCCGCUGAACUUAAGCAUAUCAAUAAGCGGAGGA